UACGUAGGGUGCAAGCGUUGUCCGGAAUUAUUGGGCGUAAAGAGCUCGUAGGCGGUCUGUCGCGUCGGCUGUGAAAUCCCGAGGCUCAACCUCGGGCCUGCAGUCGAUACGAGCAAACUAGAGUGUUGCAGGGGAGACUGGAAUUCCUGGUGUAGCGGUGAAAUGCGCAGAUAUCAGGAAGAACACCCGUGGCGAAGGCGGCUCUCUGGGACGGUACUGACGCUGAGACGCGAAAAGCGUGGGGAGCGAACAGG
rnacentral:rRNA from 1 species